GAUGGACUGUAGCUGCAUGAUGCAUGUGCGUGUGGGGCCUGGCUGACCGAUGCAUCAUGUGUGCCUCGCCUCCAUCUACAGCAGUUGGAGAAAGAGAUGGACUGGCGCCUACGACGCGUUGGUCGAUGCCGCAGCCGCCGCCAUCCGCGAGCUCGGGUGCACGGUCGCGCUCAUGGACCUCCACCGUUGCCUCGACGCCUUCAGCGAGUCCUGCGACCGAGCCGAGGGCCUCGUCCAGGCCGCCGCUGCCUCCAGCCACCACGAGCUGUGCCGCGCCGUGCGCGCGGUCGACGAGGAUCUCUGUGCCGCCGCCGGCCGUCCGGGAGGAGAAUGAGAUAGAAGAGGAGAAGAAUAGCCCUCCGACCACGCCACUGGCGGCCGAGGACAAAUAGCCCAAUCGAUCUUCCUCGUCUCCUGGUGAGGUGAUGUUCAUCGGUCUUGUUUUUUUCCAUGUGAUGUUCAUCGUUCCUCUUAUUUUCUUGGUCUAUGCGCUAACCAUGUUAGUCAUCUAGAAGAUGAAUGAAACUGUGACGGGAAAGGAGAGAUGGACUGAGAUAUUUUUCCUCGCCAUGUCGCAUGGUGGUCGAGAUGCGGAAGCCCCAUGCUCUGUUUCGAUGGGCCUCCUCUGCUCAAUGGUUGCCGCUGUUUGGUACAGUUUCCUGUUGUUGCUUGCGUCGAACCUUGGGUCCGUCUCUCCUUCUCAUUGAGUUCAGCCUACUUCUCCUGUCGCUAGCGCUUCUUCUCGUCUAUCCUGCUGCUUACCCAACAUGCUUCUGCUUGCUGCCUCAGGUUGUACGAUCUCUUAUGUCGCUGCGCCGUUCAACUCAUCAAGAAAGCGACAACACGAGAUUGUGCCCCCUCUUGCUCCAGAACAAAGUUGAAGAGAUGACUUGGAAUCUCUUGGAUAUGUACUCAUGUACUUCAUACGGGGAAGCCUUCCUUGGUAAGGUCUGAAAGCAGGAACGAGGAAGCAAAAGUAUGCGAAGAUCAGUGAGAAAAAAUUUGCAACAUCAGUUGAGGCUCUGUGUCAUGGGUAUCCUACUGAGUUCACAUCAUAUUUCCAUUAUGGUUAUUGCCGCUCGCUUCGGUUUGGCGACGAGCCUGAUUAUUCCUACCUUAAGCGACUGUUACGUGACCUAUUUAUCCAUGAAGGUUUUCAGUUUGACUAUGUAUUUGACUGGACAAUAUUGAAGUACCAGCAAUCUCAAAUUGCUGGUGCUCUGCCUCGUGUUGCAGUAAGUCUUUCAUGCACUCACCAACCAAAGACAUGUAUAUUUUCAUAUAGCCAUCCAUGUGAAAUUGCGACGUCUUACAUAUAUUCUACAUGGCCAUGGUGCGGGACCUUUUGGGUUGACACCACCUGUAUUGCAGAAUGAUAGUCAAUCUGGUAAUUGGUUUAUUUUGAUCAUUCCUUACGAGUAUUACUAUCACUGUUUUUAGGAAAUAUUGAUGAGUAAUUGGCUUAUAAUAAAGUUGCCAGAAAGUUUCUUUGCUUCUAUGGCUAACUUGAACCAGAUGGUCACCGGUUGGUCCUCCUCUUCUCUCCUCGCGCCAUCGUCCUCCUCAUCCAUCUCCCGAUUCAGCCAAGACAACAGGGAUCAAGACUGUAUUAUGUUGAAAAAAGGAAAGAGACUACUCUUUUGUUACUUACAUUACAGAUAUAUGUUAUAACAUUACCUUUAUGCUCUCUUUGGAUUUCAUUUUGUGCCUACCAACAAGUAAGUCACUAAUAUCAAUGCCUAAGAAUUAUUUUGUUUGCCAUUCUAAUCAUGACUGCAGAGAGCAAUGGAUAUAGAAGAAAUAUGUAAACAAUUGUCCCUUAGAAGAAUAUGCAACAACUUAUUCAGAAGAGAGCAAGGGAUAUAUAAGAAAUCUCCAGGCAACUUCGCUUAGAUGCAUCAUCUUCUAGUAGGAGUCAGCUUGAAGAAUGACCUUCCCAGGUUAAUUCUUGAGUCAGUGUUUUGGCUUUUCUCCAUUGGUUCGUAAAAUGUUGUUCCUAUGUUGCGGGAGACUGCAACUGACAUGUUGGAUGCGAGACUGCAACUGACAUACUGGAUGGGGAAUAACCAACUUUUUGGCCAAAGAGCUACAACCAAGGACAAAGAGUUCAUCGCAAGGGGGUGGUGUUUAGGAUAUAUACACAAAAGUGGAAACUUUCUUUUGUACAGAACCAAAUUAUAUGAUGUAAUUGAUCAUUAUUUCUAAGACCUUCUCCUGAACUCAAUAUUCAUCAUGUAUUAAGUGCAUUUUAUUGUGUCACUUUUUUUAGGGGUAGCUUUAUUCAUCAAACACCACAAAGUGUGGGAUAGAGUUCACACACAGGCUUUAUUGUGUCACCU
rnacentral:rRNA from 1 species